rnacentral:rRNA from 1 species
UACGAAGGGGGCUAGCGUUGCUCGGAAUCACUGGGCGUAAAGGGUGCGUAGGCGGGUCUUUAAGUCAGGGGUGAAAUCCUGGAGCUCAACUCCAGAACUGCCUUUGAUACUGGAGAGCUUGAGUCCGGAAGAGGUGAGUGGAACUCCGAGUGUAGAGGUGAAAUUCGUAGAUAUUCGGAAAGAACACCAGUGGCGAAGGCGGCUCACUGGUCCGGUACUGACGCUGAGGUGCGAAAGCGUGGGGAGCAACAGG